rnacentral:rRNA from 1 species
ACCAGACUCCUACGGGAGGCAGCAGUGGGGAAUAUUGCACAAUGGGGGAAACCCUGAUGCAGCGACGCCGCGUGAGUGAAGAAGUAUUUCGGUAUGUAAAGCUCUAUCAGCAGGAACGAGACAAGACGGUACCUGACUAAGAAGCCCCGGCUAACUACGUGCCAGCAGCCGCGGUAAUACGUAGGGGGCAAGCGUUAUCCGGAAUCACUGGGUGUAAAGGGAGCGUAGACGGCUGUGCAAGCCUGAAGUGAAAGGCGGGGGCCCAACCCCUGGACUGCUUUGGAAACUGUAGAACUGGAGUGCAGGAGAGGUAAGUGGAAUUCCUAGUGUAGCGGUGAAAUGCGUAGAUAUUAGGAGGAACACCAGUGGCGAAGGCGGCUUACUGGACUGUAACUGACGUCGAGGCUCGAAAGCGUGGGGAGCAAACAGGAUUAGAUACCCCAGUA